rnacentral:tRNA from 1 species
CGGGGCGUAGCGCAGCCUGGUUAGCGCACUUGACUGGGGGUCAAGGGGUCGGAGGUUCGAAUCCUCUCGCCCCGACCA